rnacentral:rRNA from 1 species
GCAUAUCAAUAAGCGGAGGAAAAGAAACCAACAGGGAUUGCCCUUAGUAACGGCGAAGUGAAGCGGCAACAGCUCAAAUUUGAAAUCUGGCCUCGGCCCGCAGUUGUAAUUUGUAGAGGAAGCUUUUGGCACGGCACCUGCUGAGUCCCCUGGAACGGGGCGCCAUAGAGGGUGAGAGCCCCGUAUAGCAGGACGCCUAGCCUCUGUAAAGCUCCUUCGACGAGUCGAGUAGUUUGGGAAUGCUGCUCAAAAUGGGAGGUAAAUUUCUUCUAAAGCUAAAUACCGGCCAGAGACCGAUAGCGCACAAGUAGAGUGAUCGAAAGAUGAAAAGCACUUUGAAAAGAGGGUUAAAUAGCACGUGAAAUUGUUGAAAGGGAAGCGCUUGUGACCAGACUCGCGCCGGGCUGAUCAUCCGAGCUUCUGCUCGGUGCACUCUGCCCGGCUCGGGCCAGCAUCGGUUCUCGCGGGGGGAUAAAGGCCCUGGGAACGUAGCUCCUCCGGGAGUGUUAUAGCCCGGGGUGCAAUGCCCUCGCGGGGACCGAGGACCGCGCUUCGGCAAGGAUGCUGGCGUAAUGGUCAUCAGCGACCCGUCUUGAAACACGGACCAAGGAGUCAAGGUUUUGCGCGAGUGUUUGGGGUGUUAAACCCGCACGCGUAAUGAAAGUGAAACGUAGGUGAGAGCUUCGGCGCAUCAUCGACCGAUCCUGAUGUAUUCGGAUGGAUUUGAGUAGGAGCGUUAAGCCUUGGACCCGAAAGAUGGUGAACUAUGCUUGGAUAGGGUGAAGCCAGAGGAAACUCUGGUGGAGGCUCGCAGCGGUUCUGACGUGCAAAUCGAUCGUCAAAUCUGAGCAUGGGGGGCGAAAGACUAAUCGAAACCAUCUAGUAGCUGGGUUACCCGCCGAGU